rnacentral:rRNA from 1 species
GCAAGUCGAACGAACCUACCUGUAGCUUGCUAUAGGUAUGUUAGUGGCGGAAGGGUUAGUAAAGCAUGAACAAUCUACCUUUAACUCUGAGAUAACAGCUGGAAACGGCUGUUAAUAUUGGAUGAGGUUAUGACUUGGCAUCAAGAUAUAAUCAAAGGGUGGGGCAACCCAUCUGGUUAAAGAGGAGUUUAUGAGAUAUCAGCUAGUUGGUAGGGUAAUGGCCUACCAAGGCAGAGACGUCUAGGCGGACUGAGAGGUCGAUCGCCAACACUGGGACUGAGACACUGCCCAGACUUCUACGGGAGGCUGCAGUCGAGGAUUAUUCGCAAUGGGGGCAACCCUGACGAUGCGACGCCGUGUGUAUGAAGAAGGCCUUUGGGUUGUAAAGUACUUUCGCUUAUGAACAAGGGAGUACAUUUAAUAGAUGUGCGACUUGAUUGUAAUAGGUAAAGAAGCACCGGCUAACUCCGUGCCAGCAGCUGCGGUAAUACGGAGGGUGCAAGCAUUAAUCGGAAUCAUUGGGCGUAAAGGGCGCGUAGGCUGUUUAACAAGUCAAGUGUGAAAUGGUACGAUUUAAUCGUACUGCUGUGCUUGAUACUGUUAGGCUAGAGGGCGGACGGAGAUAGCGGAAUUUCACGUGUAGCGGUGAAAUGUGUAGAUAUGAGGAAGAACACCGGUGGCGAAAGCGGCUAUCUAGUUCGAUCCUGACGCUGAGGCGCGAGAGCUAGGGGAGCAAACAGGAUUAGAUACCCUGGUAGUCCUAGCCGUAAACGAUGCAUACUUGAUGUAACUGGGCUCAACCCCGGUUGUGUCGAAGCUAACGCGAUAAGUAUGCCGCCUGGGGAGUAUGCUCGCAAGAGUGAAGCUCAAAAGAAUUGACGGGGACCCGCACAAGCAGUGGUGCAUGUGGUUUAAUCUGAUGCAACGCGUAGAACCUUACCCAGACUUGACAUGCAGAGCAAUGGUUAAGAAAUUAACCAGCCCGCGAGGGGCUCUGUGCAGGUGCUGCAUGGCUGUCGUCAGCUCGUGCUGUGAGGUGUUGGGUUAAGUCCCGCAACGAGCGCAACCCUUAUCGUUAGUUGCCAACGAGAGAGUCGGGUAUUCUAACGAGACUGCCUGGGUUAACCAGGAGGAAGGUGAGGACGACGUCAAGUCGGUACGGCCCUUACGUCUGGGGCUACACACGUGCAACAAUGGUAGGUACAGAAGGCAGCAAAGCCGUGAGGUGGAGCAAAUCCUAAUAAAACCUAUCUUAGUUCGGAUUGUAGUCUGCAAUUUGACUACAUGAAGUUGGAAUUGCUAGUAAUGGCGAGUCAGA